UGUCCCACCCACCACUACCUUACAGGACACACCCUAGUCCUAACUCCAAGUGUUUACGUGGGGUGAACUGCCAGCUUUGUCUAAUUUUCUAACUUUCCAAGGUAUACAAUGCGCAGUGCGCUUUUUGUCCAUUGCUAAUUUCCCCGCACAUAGUACAGCACUACAACUUCCCUACUUAGCUGAACUGAAAUGGCAGCUUUUACCUAACUGUGAAGACGGAUGCAGGUUUUCUGGAUGCAGACUAAGACAGACUGUGCCAUGGGCAAAUAAUUGGUCAGUUCAACCCAGAGGACUGCACCAGAGCUAGGAG